rnacentral:lncRNA from 1 species
UGUGAGGAGCUGCGGGCUUCCCAGGCUGCUCAGCAGUAAAGAAUCCACCUGCCAAUGCAGGAGACCUGGGUUUGAUCCCUGGGUCGGGAAGAUCCCCUGGAGAAGGUGGCAACACACGCCAGUAUUCUUGCCUGGGACAUUCCAUGGACAGAGGAGCCUGGCGGGCUUCAGUCUGUGGGAUCACAGAGUCAGACACAGCUUAGCAACUAAACAACAGUAAAGAAGCCUGCGCAGCACAUUUUUGUGUGUGUGUGUGGUUUUUUAUUUUACUUUUAUUAUACCUAUUAGUAUCUUGCAGAAGUACGUUUCAUGGCACAUCAGUUUUGGAAAUGGUCUAUAAAAAAAUUAAGCCUUCGGUCAACUGCAGGAUAUCUCCCAUUUAUGAAAGACUUCAUUUCAGGACUGAUCAACAGCCAAGCUCUCAGACGGGAGGACGGAGUGGCAGACAGGCAGCAGGCAGGCGGCAGGGAGUCCUGUUCCAGCAUGCAUGGGGCAUACCUCUUCCCGCACCCACGUCUGGACCCCUCGCCACCCUCCAGCACCCCACGAGGAGCCUGAGCCCCAGCAAGGGUCCGCAGGGGGCCUCUGCCCACCAUGGGUGUCUCCUCCAGACUCUGUGCCUGUAGCUAGAGCCAUGAUCCAAGAAGAUCCAGAUCCCUGAGCUCCACACACGCUCCAAGGCACGCUUCACAGUGGAGUGCCGUUCUCCAGCUCUGCAGCUCCAGGAAAGGCUCAGAUCUGCACAGCAUGAGAACCAGAAGUGUAUGAAUAGUCUUAGAAUUGAUUAAGUGAUUAAAAAACAUUCU